rnacentral:rRNA from 1 species
AGCUCCAAUAGCGUAUAUUAAAGUUGUUGCAGUUAAAAAGCUCGUAGUUGAAUUUCUGGCCAGUCCUGCACUGCGCAGUUUGCCGGUGUAGGGCUUGGUCAUCCGUAGGGGAAUCCAGUUCGGCCUUCACUGGUCGGCUGGUGGAACCUACAAUUUACUUUGAGAAAAUUAGAGUGUUUCAGGCAGGCAAUCGCUUGGAUACUCCAGCAUGGAAUAAUGGAAUAGGACUUUGGUCUAUUU